UGGCCUUAGCAGUAGUUAGUGUGGGA
rnacentral:piRNA from 1 species